rnacentral:rRNA from 1 species
GACGAACGCUGUCGGCGUGCUUAACACAUGCAAGUCGAACGGAAAGGCCCUGCUUUUGUGGGGUGCUCGAGUGGCGAACGGGUGAGUAACACGUGAGUAACCUGCCCUUGACUUUGGGAUAACUUCAGGAAACUGGGGCUAAUACCGGAUAGGAGCUCCUGCUGCAUGGUGGGGGUUGGAAAGUUUCGGCGGUUGGGGAUGGACUCGCGGCUUAUCAGCUUGUUGGUGGGGUAGUGGCUUACCAAGGCUUUGACGGGUAGCCGGCCUGAGAGGGUGACCGGCCACAUUGGGACUGAGAUACGGCCCAGACUCCUACGGGAGGCAGCAGUGGGGAAUAUUGCACAAUGGGCGGAAGCCUGAUGCAGCAACGCCGCGUGCGGGGUGACGGCCUUCGGGUUGUAAACCGCUUUCGCCUGUGACGAAGCGUGAGUGACGGUAAUGGGUAAAGAAGCACCGGCUAACUACGUGCCAGCAGCCGCGGUGAUACGUAGGGUGCGAGCGUUGUCCGGAUUUAUUGGGCGUAAAGGGCUCGUAGGUGGUUGAUCGCGUCGGAAGUGUAAUCUUGGGGCUUAACCCUGAGCGUGCUUUCGAUACGGGUUGACUUGAGGAAAGGUAGGGGAGAAUGGAAUUCCUGGUGGAGCGGUGGAAUGCGCAGAUAUCAGGAGGAACACCAGUGGCGAAGGCGGUUCUCUGGGCCUUUCCUGACGCUGAGGAGCGAAAGCGUGGGGAGCGAACAGGCUUAGAUACCCUGGUAGUCCACGCUGUAAACGGUGGGUACUAGGUGUGGGGUCCAUUCCACGGGUUCCGUGCCGUAGCUAACGCUUUAAGUACCCCGCCUGGGGAGUACGGCCGCAAGGCUAAAACUCAAAGGAAUUGACGGGGCCCCGCACAAGCGGCGGAGCAUGCGGAUUAAUUCGAUGCAACGCGUAGAACCUUACCUGGGUUUGACAUGGAUCGGGAGUGCUCAGAGAUGGGUGUGCCUCUUUUGGGGUCGGUUCACAGGUGGUGCAUGGCUGUCGUCAGCUCGUGUCGUGAGAUGUUGGGUUAAGUCCCGCAACGAGCGCAACCCUUGUUCACUGUUGCCAGCACGUUAUGGUGGGGACUCAGUGGAGACCGCCGGGGUCAACUCGGAGGAAGGUGGGGAUGACGUCAAGUCAUCAUGCCCCUUAUGUCCAGGGCUUCACGCAUGCUACAAUGGCUGGUACAGAGAGUGGCGAGCCUGUGAGGGUGAGCGAAUCUCGGAAAGCCGGUCUCAGUUCGGAUUGGGGUCUGCAACUCGACCUCAUGAAGUCGGAGUCGCUAGUAAUCGCAGAUCAGCAACGCUGCGGUGAAUACGUUCCCGGG